ACAUGGUUACAUUUAAUUCUAGGAAUGUUUUCCUACUGGUUUGACGUCGGGAAUGUUCUCAAAAAGUCCGGAGAACAUUUAAAAAAAAAAAGUUAUUCUUUGGGAAUUUCAGUACUUCAGUGAAACGUUUCCUCUUGUUUCUAUUUAGUCAUGUUAUUAAAUUAUUCCAAGAAUGUUAAGAAAACUUUACAUAAAAGCCACACGAAAUCUUAAGUAACAUUCAGAGAAUGUUCUAAGAAUGUUAUUUAAAAACAUACAUUCCAUUCCCAGCAUCAACAAAACUCUCUAUCCUCUAUUUUGUUGCGCGUUCAGGUGUUGGCUGCGCCCACUAAAUGGCCACACACUGAAACAAUUAGCGGUUUCAACAAGAGAUCUUCCAAGUACCUCAAAUUUCUUCAAAGAACAGGGUUCUUGGCACUGAAAAUGGCCCCCAAAAGGUUCUUCCAAGAACCCCAUAGAAGGUGGAGUUCAUCGAGGAACCUCCUUGGUUGGUGGGGGUUCUUGCAGGAACUUAACUGCCCAACUGGAACAUUUCAAUUUGAAAGGACAUCAGGUGCAGGCACUUAACAGAAAAAUGUAAAGUUCUCCUCAAUUUGAGGUAAGGUUUGUCCCUUGUAUGAUCUACAUUCAUAUUGUUGUAUGAUGAUACCAUCUAUAUUUUCAUAUUUGUGACAAUCUUUCUAAAACAGAAAAUGGUGCAAUUCAAUGGAUAUCAAUCAACAACAAGGUCUACAGACGGGGAGGCACACAAAGAAUUCACCCUCCCUACACCACUGCAAAAUGGCUAUGGAUAUGGAGAACAUCAACACAUUAACAUCAACACGCCAGAGGAUAUAACCAUUGGACUUGGGGCUCUGCUGGGAGUUAACCUCAUUUAGAUUUUAUUUCUUCUGUUUUUGCCACUAAAAGCAUAAUAACCACUGAGAACAAAAAUAGUGACUUAUUGUUAUGCAUAUUAAUAGUAUUAUUAAUAAGAAUAAAGGGGGGGGGGUAGUUAACACAUUUACCCCAUAAGGUUCUUCAAAAGGUUCUUUGAGGAUCCAUUAAAAUGGGUUCUGUGAAGAACUUUUAGGGGUUCCUCUACAGUUUCAGUUUGAAGAACCCCUACAGGAUACUCCAGGAACUUUUUCUUUUUAGAGUGCACCUGAUCUUAAUGAGUGCUUGUUUCAUUUGAAAUGGGGUCUGUUUGAAUAGACAAACAUUUAUAACUGUGUCUGCAUUAAAAAAAACAUGGCACGCUAACAGUGGACUAGUUCCAUGGAUAGAGAACAAAAUAUUAUAGGUUUGAAUCGCACUGAUGCUGUGUCACAAUAAAAAAAUAUAUGAUUAAUGCCUAAGGAAUUACAUUUACAUGUGUCCUAUCUGUGCUUGUAGUUCAAAAAAGUUAACCCCCCCAAUUUUUUUUUUGUAAUAUUAUUGAAAAAUUCUAAAACCUCCAAAUAACCUAAUAAUUUCCUUUCUCGGAGCGUUAAUUAAACCUCCCAGGAAAACUUUCUGGGAACCAUAGUAAAACGUUCUCCGAACUUUGUUCCCAGAACAGGAGAAAUGUUAACUUUCGUUCUCACAACGUUUAGUUCUUUCUUUUAUUUCCUUCUCUUUCUUCGUUCCAUCUUCUUCCUUUCUCUCCGUCUUUCACUCCGUCUCUCUGUCUGGCCUGUUGUCUUCUCCACACUAGGGCCAUGUGUUGUGGAGAUUAAGGCCUGUUAGCAAGAUUGAGGAGUGAUCCAGAAGUUUCCGAGUCUGGUGUGUGUCUCUCAUUUACACAUACACACACGGGUGCACACACACACACACUGAGACCCCUUUUUCUGGUGGCAACCAGAGCAUUGACCUCAGAGUUCCACAUUGCUGAAUGCAACAGUUGUUAUUUUAGGGGUUUAGGGGCUCUGAAGUCCCUCUGUCUGCCAUUUAGCUGAUCUUAGAUCUGUGCCAUUGCAGUGGAUCAUACUCCAGGCUCUCACUAGUCUCGUUAAAAGUUAGGGCACAGGGUGGUCAUCACCUGCUUGUCUGACUAUGUUCAUGGGUUGCACCUCCGUUCUACAGAUGCCACAGCCAUAUUGGUGCCCAAAAGUCCAGUGACGCUCAGUCAUUCUGAACGGGGGGCUAAUGACCGUUUCGUCAAAUAUUACACUAUAGUCGCUUGGAAAUACGAUGACAUAGGCAAAUAUUUAGUAGGAAUCAACUUUGCCAGCAUUAUCAUGUCAUCAAAUUUACUUUAGACAGAUGGCAAUGUUUUCAUUAGUUUGUCAAAAAUAUCAAGCAAUGCUAAAAAUCUGAUGGUCUCCCCUCAAUCUUGGCUAGCUAGCAUUAUACUGCAUCUAAAGUCAAUCUGGUGACAUCACAAUGAUGACAAAAGUUUUUCCUACUAAUUAUUUUCCUCCUUUAGAAAUGUAAUUGUAUUUCCAAGCCACUGUAAUGCACUUUUAAUGAAAUCUUCAUCAGCGCCCAUUGACAACGCACCGAGUAGAAUGCUCAGUCGGGCGUCAGUCCUAAAAUUAUUGUUCAAAACAGGUUGCACGUUUUGUCACAAUACUAUGAAUAGUGUUGUGUGCCAUCUCGCGUUGUCAUCCCAUUUCGUGUGUCUGUGUGUGUUUUUCUAUCUGCCUGUGUGUCUGUCUGUAUGUCUAUGUAUUUGCACAAGAGAUACGGACUUCUCAGCCAUCUGCAGACAUUCAGUUUAGGUGGACCUGCAGCAGCCACUGGAGCUCCUACGCCUUGUUAGCGAUAUGCUAUUAAUUAAAGCUGUGGAAUGGGCCUGAAGCUACAGAGAGCGAGAGAGAGGUGAAAGAGGAUGAGGAAAGGGGAGGAGGAAGAGGGGAGCGGUUGAUGAGUGUGUUUGUAUCAAAGUCACGCCGUGCUGUGAUGCAAAAAACCUUUGGUCUAAUUCUCAGGUGCUGCAUGAGUUAAAACAAAUACACUUUAUUUGGAUAGUCCACGUUAUAGAUGCAGUAACACAUGAAUGACGAGUGCAUUUCUGUUGACUUGCAUGACUUGAUGUCAAGCUUAUUUUCCAAAGACUGUCCAGUUAAAUACAACAGAAUUCAACUAUUGGGAUUUAUUUACCCAAAAAGUGACGUUUUUGUUAACUGGCUCCUCUUCAGUACGUGCCAACACACUUUAUUCACACCUCACUCUCUCCAUCGUCUAUCAAUCAAUUUCCCUCAUUUUCCCCAUCAACUCCCUUCCUGUAUUGUCCGUGCAGCCUUUACAUCUCUCUUGCUAGUUAGUAUUCUCGACUUCCAACUCCUCCUCUUUUUCUCAUUUGCACAGAUGGGGUGUGAAAUUCCCAGCGCACUAACUUAGCAUCUCUCUCUCUCAAUUUAAGGGCUUUAUUGGCAUGGGAAACAUAUGUUGACAUUGCCAAGGCAAGUGAAAUAGAUAAUAAACAAUAAAAAAAUGAACAGUAAACAUUACGCUCACAAAAGUUCCAAAAUAAUAGACGUUUCAAAUGUCAUGUCUGUCUACAGUGUUGUGAUGUGCAAAAAGGGAAAAUAAAUA